UACGGAGGGUGCAGGCGUUAAUCGGAAUUACUGGGCGUAAAGCGUGCGCAGGCGGUUUGUUAAGGCUGUUGUGAAAUCCCCGAGCUCAACUUGGGAAUUGCAAUGGAUACUGGCAGGCUGGAGUAUGGUAGAGGAAGGUGGAAUUCCCGGUGUAGCAGUGAAAUGCGUAGAGAUCGGGAGGAACACCAGUGGCGAAGGCGGCCUUCUGGACCAAUACUGACGCUCAUGCACGAAAGCGUGGGGAGCAAACAGG
rnacentral:rRNA from 1 species